UACGAAGGGGGCUAGCGUUGCUCGGAAUCACUGGGCGUAAAGCGCACGUAGGCGGACUUUUAAGUCAGGGGUGAAAUCCUGGAGCUCAACUCCAGAACUGCCUUUGAUACUGGAAGUCUUGAGUUCGAGAGAGGUGAGUGGAACUGCGAGUGUAGAGGUGAAAUUCGUAGAUAUUCGCAAGAACACCAGUGGCGAAGGCGGCUCACUGGCUCGAUACUGACGCUGAGGUGCGAAAGCGUGGGGAGCAAACGGG
rnacentral:rRNA from 1 species